CAAAAUAUAGCUUAAACAAAGCCUUUCGCUUACACCGAAAAAAUAUUUGUACAACCAAAUUAUUUUGA
rnacentral:tRNA from 1 species